UAGCUUGCUACUUUGCUGACGAGCGGCGGACGGGUGAGUAAUGCUUGGGAACAUGCCUUGAGGUGGGGGACAACAGUUGGAAACGACUGCUAAUACCGCAUAAUGUCUACGGACCAAAGGGGGCUUCGGCUCUCGCCUUUAGAUUGGCCCAAGUGGGAUUAGCUAGUUGGUGAGGUAAUGGCUCACCAAGGCGACGAUCCCUAGCUGGUUUGAGAGGAUGAUCAGCCACACUGGGACUGAGACACGGCCCA
rnacentral:rRNA from 1 species